AGAUUGAACGCUGGCGGCAUGCUUUACACAUGCAAGUCGAGCGGCAGCGCGGGGGCAACCCUGGCGGCGAGCGGCGAACGGGUGAGGAACACAUCGGAACGUGCCCCGGAGUGGGGGAUAACGCCGCGAAAGCGGCGCUAAUACCGCAUAUGCUCUGAGGAGGAAAGCGGGGGACCUGUGAGGGCCUCGCGCUCUGGGAGCGGCCGAUGUCCGAUUAGCUAGUUGGUGGGUAAUGGCUCACCAAGGCGACGAUCGGUAGCUGGUCUGAGAGGAUGAUCAGCCACACUGGGACUGAGACACGGCCCAGACUCCUACGGGAGGCAGCAGUGGGAAUUUUGGACAAGUGGGGCAACCCUGAUCCAGCCAUGCCGCGUGCGGGAAGAAGGCCUUCGGGUUGUAACCGUCGUUUAGUCGGAAGUAAAGGUUAUACCCUAAUAAGGAUAGACUGUUAGACGGUACGGCG
rnacentral:rRNA from 1 species